rnacentral:rRNA from 1 species
CACGGUGCUGAAGCAACAAAUGCCCUGCUUCCAGGAAAAGCCUCUAAGCAUCAGGUAACAUCAAAUCGUACCCCAAACCGACACAGGUGGUCAGGUAGAGAAUACCAAGGCGCUUGAGAGAACUCGGGUGAAGGAACUAGGCAAAAUGGUGCCGUAACUUCGGGAGAAGGCACGCUGACACGUAGGUGAAGUGAUUUACUCAUGGAGCUGAAGUCAGUCGAAGAUACCAGCUGGCUGCAACUGUUUAUUAAAAACACAGCACUGUGCAAACACGAAAGUGGACGUAUACGGUGUGACGCCUGCCCGGUGCCGGAAGGUUAAUUGAUGGGGUCAGCGCAAGCGAAGCUCCUGAUCGAAGCCCCGGUAAACGGCGGCCGUAACUAUAACGGUCCUAAGGUAGCGAAAUUCCUUGUCGGGUAAGUUCCGACCUGCACGAAUGGCGUAAUGAUGGCCAGGCUGUCUCCACCCGAGACUCAGUGAAAUUGAACUCGCUGUGAAGAUGCAGUGUACCCGCGGCAAGACGGAAAGACCCCGUGAACCUUUACUAUAGCUUGACACUGAACAUUGAGCCUUGAUGUGUAGGAUAGGUGGGAGGCUUUGAAGCGUGGACGCCAGUCUGCGUGGAGCCGACCUUGAAAUACCACCCUUUAAUGUUUGAUGUUCUAACGUGGACCCGUAAUCCGGGUUGCGGACAGUGUCUGGUGGGUAGUUUGACUGGGGCGGUCUCCUCCUAAAGAGUAACGGAGGAGCACGAAGGUUGGCUAAUCCUGGUCGGACAUCAGGAGGUUAGUGCAAUGGCAUAAGCCAGCUUGACUGCGAGCGUGACGGCGCGAGCAGGUGCGAAAGCAGGUCAUAGUGAUCCGGUGGUUCUGAAUGGAAGGGCCAUCGCUCAACGGAUAAAAGGUACUCCGGGGAUAACAGGCUGAUACCGCCCAAGAGUUCAUAUCGACGGCGGUGUUUGGCACCUCGAUGUCGGCUCAUCACAUCCUGGGGCUGAAGUAGGUCCCAAGGGUAUGGCUGUUCGCCAUUUAAAGUGGUACGCGAGCUGGGUUUAGAACGUCGUGAGACAGUUCGGUCCCUAUCUGCCGUGGGCGCUGGAAGACUGAGGGGGGCUGCUCCUAGUACGAGAGGACCGGAGUGGACGCAUCACUGGUGUUCGGGUUGUCAUGCCAAUGGCACUGCCCGGUAGCUAAAUGCGGAAAAGAUAAGUGCUGAAAGCAUCUAAGCACGAAACUUGCCC